ensembl:lncRNA novel transcript
UGUUCAUCCAUACAAUGAUGCUCUGAGGAGCACACAAGGAAGGUGCAAAUUUGAUAAAAUGUGCAUGAUGUAAGGAGCAUAAACCCCCUCAGGAAAGAGUUGCUGCCUUUUCACUAAUGUAUCCCUGAGCUGCACAGAGCAGCCCUGGGGGACUGGGAGGACAUGUCCCCGGUGUGAGGAGCAGGGGAAAGGUGAGCCUUAAAUGAUCACCAACAAACAACAGGGCCUGUGUCUGGGGCUUACACCACGACAUGUGGUCCUCGCAGCACCAUUGCUCAGAGGAAGAAACCAAGAUCUCGAGGAACUGAGUAAUUUGCCCACGUUCAACAAGUUGGUGCAAAAUGAAGAGUGGCUCCCGUAUUUCAGACUUUAAGGCCGACGAUCUUCCAUCUGUGCUCUGGGGGCAAGAUGGGAGGUCCACAGAUAAAAUUGCGGGCGGUAUCCCCCA